rnacentral:rRNA from 1 species
CCUACGGGAGGCAGCAGUGAGGAAUCUUCCACAAUGGGCGAAAGCCUGAUGGAGCAACGCCGCGUGCAGGACGAAGGCCUUCGGGUCGUAAACUGCUUUUAUGAGUGAAGAAUAUGACGGUAACUCAUGAAUAAGCACCGGCUAACUACGUGCCAGCAGCCGCGGUAAUA